rnacentral:misc_RNA from 1 species
GAGAUAUGGCCUCACUGCUCUGGGACAAACAGUCAUGGUAAUUAGUAAAUUUUGUAAUUAAUUAAGGUAAGUACAAAUUAAAAAAUGAAGCAAAACAAUUAGUUAAAGUGCUUCAACCAGUUGAAAUUACAGAUAAGAUGAAGGAGAUGAAGAAACAGGAACAUGGUCUGAAUUAUGACUCAUUAGUACGUGGCAAUCAUCAAGACCUAUCAAGGAAGAUGUUUAAUCUAAGCCACACAUUUAAGAGAUCAAAUCCCA